GACGGACGCUGGCGGCGUGCUUAACACAUGCAAGUCGAACGGAAAGGCCCUGCUUUUGUGGGGUGCUCGAGUGGCGAACGGGUGAGUAACACGUGAGUAACCUGCCCUUGACUUUGGGAUAACUUCAGGAAACUGGGGCUAAUACCGGAUAGGAGCUCCUGCUGCAUGGUGGGGGUUGGAAAGUUUCGGCGGUUGGGGAUGGACUCGCGGCUUAUCAGCUUGUUGGUGGGGUAGUGGCUUACCAAGGCUUUGACGGGUAGCCGGCCUGAGAGGGUGACCGGCCACAUUGGGACUGAGAUACGGCCCAGACUCCUACGGGAGGCAGCAGUGGGGAAUAUUGCACAAUGGGCGGAAGCCUGAUGCAGCAACGCCGCGUGCGGGAUGACGGCCUUCGGGUUGUAAACCGCUUUCGCCUGUGACGAAGCGUGAGUGACGGUAAUGGGUAAAGAAGCACCGGCCAACUACGUG
rnacentral:rRNA from 1 species